rnacentral:rRNA from 1 species
UACGUAGGGAGCAAGCGUUGUCCGGAAUCAUUGGGCGUAAAGCGCGCGCAGGUGGCUUCGUAAGUCCGUUGUGAAAGUCAAAGGCUCAACCUUUGAAAGCCGAUGGAUACUGCGGAGCUAGAGUACGGAAGAGGCGAGUGGAAUUCCUGGUGUAGCGGUGGAAUGCGCAGAUAUCAGGAGGAACACCAAUAGCGAAGGCAGCUCGCUGGGACGUUACUGACACUGAGGCGCGAAAGCGUGGGGAGCGAACAGG